AUUGAACGCUGGCGGAAUGCUUUACACAUGCAAGUCGAACGGCAGCACGGGGCAACCUGGUGGCGAGUGGCGAACGGGUGAGUAAUACAUCGGAACGUGCCCAAUCGUGGGGGAUAACGUAGCGAAAGUUACGCUAAUACCGCAUACGAUCUACGGAUGAAAGCGGGGGAUCGCAAGACCUCGCGCGAAUGGAGCGGCCGAUGUCAGAUUAGGUAGCUGGUGGGGUAAAGGCUCACCAAGCCAACGAUCUGUAGCUGGUCUGAGAGGACGACCAGCCACACUGGGGCUGAGACACGGCCCAGACGCCUACGGGAGGCAGCAGUGGGGAAUUUUGGACAAUGGGCGCAAGCCUGAUCCAGCCAUUCCGCGUGCAGGAUGAAGGCCUUCGGGUUGUAAACUGCUUUUGUACGGAACGAAACGGCUCUCUCUAAUACAGGGGGCUAAUGACGGUACCGUAAGAAUAAGCACCGGCUAACUACGUGCCAGCCGCCGCCGUAAAAC
rnacentral:rRNA from 1 species